GACGAACGCUGGCGGCGUGCUUAACACAUGCAAGUCGAACGGAAAGGCCCUGCUUUUGUGGGGUGCUCGAGUGGCGAACGGGUGAGUAACAAGUGAGUAACCUGCCCUUGACUUUGGGAUAACUUCAGGAAACUGGGGCUAAUACCGGAUAGGAGCUCCUGCUGCAUGGUGGGGGUUGGAAAGUUUCGGCGGUUGGGGAUGGACUCGCGGCUUACCAGCUUGUUGGUGGGGUAGUGGCUUACCAAGGCUUUGACGGGUAGCCGGCCUGAGAGGGUGACCGGCCACAUUGGGACUGAGAUACGGCCCAGACUCCUACGGGAGGCAGCAGUGGGGAAUAUUGCACAAUGGGCGGAAGCCGGAUGCAGCAACGCCGCGUGCGGGAUGACGGCCUUCGGGUUGUAAACCGCUUUCGCCUGUGACGAAGCGUGAGUGACGGUAAUGGGUAAAGAAGCACCGGCUAACUACGUG
rnacentral:rRNA from 1 species